AUUGAACGCUGGCGGCAUGCUUUACACAUGCAAGUCGAACGGCAGCGCGGGCUUCGGCCUGGCGGCGAGUGGCGAACGGGUGAGUAAUACAUCGGAACGUGCCCAGUAGUGGGGGAUAGCGCGGCGAAAGCCGGAUUAAUACCGCAUAGGACCUGAGGGUGAAAGCGGGGGAUCUUCGGACCUCGCGCUAUUGGAGCGGCCGAUGGCAGAUUAGCUAGUUGGUGGGGUAAAGGCCUACCAAGGCGACGAUCUGUAGCUGGUCUGAGAGGACGACCAGCCACACUGGGACUGAGACACGGCCCAGACUCCUACGGGAGGCAGCAGUGGGGAAUUUUGGACAAUGGGCGAAAGCCUGAUCCAGCAAUGCCGCGUGUGUGAUGAAGGCCUUCGGGUUGUAAAGCACUUUUGGCGGGAACGAAAAGGACUGUGCCAAUACCACGGUUCGAUGACGGUACCCGCAGAAUAAGCACCGGCUAACUACGUG
rnacentral:rRNA from 1 species